AUUGAACGCUGGCGGCAGGCCUAACACAUGCAAGUCGAGCGGAUGAAGGGAGCUUGCUCCUGUAUUCAGCGGCGGACGGGUGAGUAAUGCCUAGGAAUCUGCCUGGUAGUGGGGGAUAACGUCCGGAAACGGGCGCUAAUACCGCAUACGUCCUGAGGGAGAAAGUGGGGGAUCUUCGGACCUCACGCUAUCAGCUGAGCCUAGGUCGGAUUAGCUAGUUGGUGGGGUAAAGGCCUACCAAGGCGACGAUCCGUAACUGGUCUGAGAGGAUGAUCAGUCACACUGGAACUGAGACACGGUCCAGACUCCUACGGGAGGCAGCAGUGGGGAAUCUUGGACAAUGGGCGAAAGCCUGAUGCAGCCAUGCCGCGUGUGUGAAGAAGGUCUUCGGAUUGUAAAGCACUUUAAGUUGGGAGGAAGGGCAGUAAGUUAAUACAUUGAUGUUUUGACGUUACCAACAGAAUAAGCAACGGCUAACUUCGUG
rnacentral:rRNA from 1 species